AUUAGAUACCCUGGUAGUCCACGCCGUAAACGGUGGGUGCUAGUUGUGGGCCACAUUCCACGUGGUCCGUGACGAAGUUAACACAUUAAGCACCCCGCCUGGGGAGUACGGUCGCAAGACUAAAACUCAAAGGAAUUGACGGGGGCCCGCACAAGCGGCGGAGCAUGCGGAUUAAUUCGAUGCAACGCGAAGAACCUUACCAAGGCUUGACAUAUAGAGGAAACGUGCAGAAAUGUACGCCCCGCAAGGUCUCUAUACAGGUGGUGCAUGGUUGUCGUCAGCUCGUGUCGUGAGAUGUUGGGUUAAGUCCCGCAACGAGCGCAACCCUCGUCCUAUGUUGCCAGCACGUAAUGGUGGGAACUCAUGGGAGACUGCCGGGGACAACUCGGAGGAAGGUGGGGAUGACGUCAAAUCAUCAUGCCCCUUAUGUCUUGGGCUUCACGCAUGCUACAAUGGCCAGUACAAAGGGCUGCAAUACCGUAAGGUGGAGCGAAUCCCAAAAAGCUGGUCUCAGUUCGGAUUGAGGUCUGCAACUCGACCUCAUGAAGUCGGAGUCGCUAGUAAUCGCAGAUCAGCAACGCUGCGGUGAAUACGUUCCCGGGCCUUGUACACACCGCCCGUCAAGUCACGAAAGUCGGUAACACCCGAAGACCGUGGCCUAACCGUAAGGAAGGAGCCGUCGAAGGUG
rnacentral:rRNA from 1 species